GGACUACUGGGGUAUCUAAUCCUGUUCGCUCCCCUAGCUUUCGCACCUGAGCGUCAGAUCAUCGCCAGGACACUGCCUUCGCCUUUGGUGUUCUUCCGGAUCUCUACGCAUUUCACCACUCCACCCGGAAUUCCGUGUCCCUCUCGAUGCCUCAAGUCUAUCCGUUUUGAAGGCACUCUUUCGGUUUAGCCGCUAGCUGUCACCCCCAACGCGAUAGACCGCCUGCGUGCGCUUUACGCCCAGUAACUCCGGACAACGCUCGCCCCCUACGUAUUACCGCGGCUGCUGGCAC
rnacentral:rRNA from 1 species